AGGGAGAUUCGUACGGUCACAAAGGUUCGUACAAACGAUGCGGUCGUAUACGAAUCUCCCUUUUUUCCAUUGUCUUUCCGAAUUAAUGCUACGGUCGUAGCGUUUCCCUCUGAGCGCGAAGCGGACUUCGAGUGUUAUCUUCUCCAUAACUCGCUCGUCGUCAUUGAUGACCGUUCCUCUUCUUCCUUCGCGAGGAAAAGGAGGAGGGAAACGCAUUCUGAGUGGU
rfam:Strongylocentrotus purpuratus Contig53058_fixed, whole genome shotgun sequence.